rnacentral:rRNA from 1 species
CCUACGGGAUGCAGCAGCAGGGAAUCUUCGGCAAUGGACGAAAGUCUGACCGAGCAACGCCGCGUGAGUGAAGAAGGUUUUCGGAUCGUAAAACUCUGUUGUUAGAGAAGAACAAGUAGGAGAGUAACUGCUCUUACCUUGACGGUAUCUAACCAGAAAGCCACGGCUAACUACAUGCCAGCAGCCGCGGUAAUACGUAGGUGGCAAGCGUUGUCCGGAUUUAUUGGGCGUAAAGCGAGCGCAGGCGGUCUUUUAAGUCUGAUGUGAAAGCCCUCGGCUCAACCGAGGAAGGACAUUGGAAACUGGAGGACUUGAGUGCAGAAGAGGAGAGUGGAAUUCCAUGUGUAGCGGUGAAAUGCGUGGAUAUAUGGAGGAACACCAGUGGCGAAGGCGACUCUCUGGUCUGUAACUGACGCUGAGGCUCGAAAGCGUGGGGAGCAAACGGGAUUAGAUACCCCCGUAGUC